GAGGGGAGCGGCGCCGUGCCAGCAGCCGCGUGGCCGCCGCAGUGCCGCCUCGGGGCUGUCCGGCGCGCCGUGGGAUUUCUGGGGCGUUUUACCGGUAGAGCUGACGUUUUCCACCCCACGUGCUUGCCUCAGGCUGAAUCUUUCUUUUCUUUUUUUUUCUUUUUUUUUUUUUUUAAUGUAGCCAAGAUGAUUUAGUCAUUUCCAAAAACACUACUGCUUGCCCUUGUCUAAAUAUUCGAGCAGUCUUUCAUUCUGAAGGCUUGAGAUCGGGGUUAGUGGUGGGGAUGUGUUUGUGGCCAUCUCUGUAGAAACUGAGUCUGGUACGAGUCAAAGAACAAGAGCUGGUUACACUCACCUAGGAAGGACAACUUCCACAUUGCUGCCUCCAUAAGAUCCUCCUAUAACGCUCUGAGUUCUAAACCAGCUGGUACUGGUGGGACUGAACACACACAGGACGUGAACCAUCCCUUCAUGCUUGCCAUGUUUGUUAACAUGUUCACAUCACCAUGGGGCUUCUCCCUAUAACUACCACAGUUUUUACAGAGGUUGUAAGAUACAGCCCCUUUUCCCACUGUGAAGCCCUGCCUAGCAGGAGGCAGCCUCUGUUGGUACAGGAUUUUUGGAACUGAGGUAUCAAUGGAUCUCUACUGCCAUAAACACAAGAAGCUGGCAUGCACCAAGAGGGCAGAGGUGCUACACAGCUACAGAACAUGUCCAGGGCAGCCCGUAUACUGCAGCACCUGAGGGAUGCUGUAGGCUUAGCACAGAUUUGUUACAGCACGUGAACUCUGAUGUGGAAAUCUCAGGAAGAAAACAGUGACUUUCACUGCAGGCCUGGUCCAAGCUUGUCUUCUGAAAGCGCUGAACUCUGACUGGAUUGCUGAGAGGCACGGAGAUCACACUGUGGUCGGGGAGAUGCAGCGUGAAAGACAGCAGGCUGACACAAGAUGUCUCAUGGUCAAGGCAGAUCACGGCAAGGGGAAGACAGCCUGUGUCUCAGAGAGUCCCUCUCAGAUGGAGCUGAGAGACCUGCAGGUCUUAGCAGGAGCUUCAGAGGCAGCAAAUGGAAGGAAUGCCCACGUUAGCAAACAUUACACCAGACUGAGAGCACUAUAAAAGGAGGCUCCGCAGGGCCUGCAGAUAGAAAUGUACUCCUGGCUGCAGAGGCACACCAGGUCUUUGCUGGCCACUAGCACAAGGCACAGCACACCCUCAAGGGCCACACGCUUUGGAGGUCAGCCACAGGUGAGCACAUGGCCCUGAGCAUGAACACAAGUAGCACUCCUCAGUGCUUCUCAGAAAGGUGCCAGUAGGGAUCAGCCUGAGCUAAAACAGCUGGCGAUUCCUCUGGAUGGCCUGGAAGGAGCAGCAGGCCCACGCUGCUGGGUGGCACAGGGCACAUGGGGACUCCUGGCAUGAGGCUGGAACUGCCAGUGCAGACAACUCAGAGGAAGCUUUCAGAUGAAUGACUUGGCAUGGGUCACCAUAACCUGUAGUUUGAGGAACAUACAAUUACUGGCAGCUACACCUGCCCAGUUGUGCAGACAAGAUUAAUGAAGGUUGUAUAGAGCUGAUUGAACAGGCAGCAAUCUUAGUACGCUCUUCAGUCUUCUCAAGACUGUGGCCUGGUUCAUGCCUCAGAGAGUUCACAUAGCACAAGAGAGAAAAAUAAAGCACUUGCUCAACCACCACAAAAAUACUGUCCAUGCUGUGAAGUGCUGUGACACACCUUCAGUAUAACUGUGACCCAUUCUGUCCUUUCCUUUUCCAGUAACGGGAGUACUGGCAGAGUUCCAGCUCAGACUAUUGAAAAUGGUCCUGCACUAGAAACCAUGGGUGUAAUGAGGAUGAGCUGUAACCAGCUCCCACAGAAAGGAGAAAUCAUUUCCAUGGCUAGAACAAUGUCUCAGACUGAGGAACCACUAAUGGGAAAUAAAAGAAGAGAGGUGCUGAAGGGGAAGCAAGGUGCCUGUUUUUCUGGUCUGAACUGUGAAAAGGCAAAUACAUUUGCAAAUAAAGCUAGAGGAUGUUGCAUUUUGAAUAUCUGUGUCAUAAAGUACUAAACACUCAAAAUAAUCAUGAGUUGAAGGUGUCUUAAACUGGAUAUGGUAUGGAAGAUUAAUUGA